rnacentral:rRNA from 1 species
UACGUAGGGGGCAAGCGUUGUCCGGAUUUAUUGGGCGUAAAGAGCGUGUAGGCGGCUCGAUAAGUCUGCUGUGAAAGUCCAGGGCUCAACCCUGGAAGGCCGGUGGAAACUGUCGGGCUAGAGUCCGGAAGAGGCGAGUGGAAUUCCCGGUGUAGCGGUGAAAUGCGCAGAUAUCGGGAGGAACACCAAUGGCGAAGGCAGCUCGCUGGGACGGUACUGACGCUGAGACGCGAAAGCGUGGGGAGCAAACAGG